rnacentral:tRNA from 1 species
GGCCUUAUAGUCAAUAAUGAUAUUAGACUGCAAUUCUAAAGGAGUGGUAAAACUACUAAGGCUU